rnacentral:lncRNA from 1 species
GGCAAGCGACGGUAGAUUGAAGCUCAAGUGUAGCUGACCUUCCAGCUCAUAAAGCAGCAAAGACCUGACUGUCCUGUGACAAUACAAACACUCCUGCUGACAGCACAUGACCAGAGCUGCUGGCAUACAGCUGCAAAAGCAGGAGAUGGCUUGGCUGGGGUGCUGACAGGGUCCCUGUCCCUGCCUGACCCUCGCCAUCACACUGCACAGGCCUCUGAGCUGCGUGGCAGGCAGUUCCUGAGCCACCACGGGAUUCAGGACAAAGAUGGAAGAAAGUUACCUAGACUUUUCUGAGCCUUACGAAAGUAUCAGUCAGCUUAAACUGAUGUUUCAGAGCUCUUGAACUACAUGUUGUCUUUCUUUUCUUGUGCUUCUCUGAGAACUUCACUGCUUCAGCUUCCACAUAACCUCUUCCUCUCUGAUGGACACCAUUCCCUGCCACAGUCAUAUUUUUCUCCAAAUUAAAAAAGUUCAAAAUACAGUGUCCCCUGAGGCAUUUAAAAACAGCAGCAUCUGCUAAAACAGAGAAGGC